rnacentral:lncRNA from 1 species
AGAGUCGGAUGUCGGUCGGACUGUUCUGAAGAUUGAUCGGCAAAUGAAGGCCAGUCAGUUUUCUCCAACAGUUGCCCUCCCAUUUUUGAGUCCAAAUGGCGAGUCAUCACAUGCGUAGCUACGUGGUCGAUCGCUUUGGGCGAAAGGAGUGGUUAUCCGUCAUGUCGAGUCUCGAUUUUAUCGCCACAUUCUCUGGAAUACGGCCAAUCAUCCCCUUUGUCGUCCUUGAACCAUCGUAUCGGCAGAG